rnacentral:misc_RNA from 2 species
AACUAACGCAUUUUUUGUUACAGUUUCUGUACUAUAUUGGUAAGAGAAACUUCCAGAACACGCUCCGUGUUCGGGCAAAUUUUGGAACAAGAGCCUUCGGGCUC